CUUUAUAGUACAAGUACUUCCUUAUUAAAAUAAGAUAACUUUCCUCCAAUAAUCAAUUUUUAAACCAUUUCUGCAUUGUCAUGGUUUCACAUGUCUUUAAGCUUAUUUUGUAUAGUUUGCAACCUAAAUCUAUGCAACAUUUUCUAGUACUGACAAACCUACGGUAUUUGAGUUAUGGGCUGACAUUCAUGGUCUUGCAGGCAAAACUCAAGUUCCUAGGUAGGACUGAGAAGUGGCAUGAGCCACUGUGCUCAGCCUCAGUUUAUUUUUUACUCAUAAAUAACUCAGAUUUGAUUUCUUCUUAUGGGUUUGCUGGAAGUAAAAAUCACAUUCACAACCACUGAAGCCAGACAUUUGAUUACUCUUAACAAUUAACAGUAUUAUUUAUUAGGAAAGUAAUGCUGUAAGAGUCAGCAAAAUGGGGCCUGGCUUCCCGGGGCUUUGUCCUAGUCAGCAACUUGCCUUGCACUGCCCUCUUCCUGCCACCUGUGUCCAGCCUGAGCAAGAAAAGAUCUGAUGCUCAGGGAAUCCCUCAUUGGGAAAAUUUAAAUAUGGACCGUAUAGUAGAUGAUAAUAUUGAAAUUAGGUUAUCUUUUUAUUAGAUGUGAUGAUGGUAAUGUGAUAAUGUAGGUGAAUGUUCUUAUUUUUAGGUGAGGCGUGGGGAAUGUUUCCGGAUGGAAUAUUCUAUGUCUUCAACUUACUUUCAAAAAAACAAUACAGCAAGUCCUCAAA
ensembl:lncRNA novel transcript